rnacentral:rRNA from 1 species
GCUGAACGCUGGCGGAGUGCUUAACCUAUGCCCGUCGAAAGCAGCAGUCCAGCUUGCUGGGUGGAAUAGUGGCGAACGGGUCAGUAACACGUGAGUACUCUGACCCAAACCUUGGGAUAAGCCUGGGCAACUGGGUCUAAUAACGGCUAGCAGCGUACCCCGCAUGGCGGGUGUUGGAAAGAUUUAUCGGUUUUGGCUGGACUCGCGGCCUAUCAGCUUGUUGGUGAGGUAAUGGCUCACCAAGGCGACGACGGGUAGCCGGCCUGAGAGGGUGACCGGCCACACUGGGACUGAGACACCGCCCAGACUCCUACGGGAGGCAGCGGUGGAGAGUAUUGCACUAGGGGCGCAAGCCUGUAGAAGCAACGCGGCGGGUGGUAUGACGGCCUUCAAGUUGUAAACCUCUUUCAGUUUAGAAGAUGCUAGAGAGACGGUACCAGCAGAAGAAGCACCGGCUGACUACAUU